GAUCCUGGCUCGGGACGAACGCUGGCGGCGCGCCUAACACAUGCAAGUCGAACGGAGUUUGCGGGACUGAUCCUUCGGGUGAUCGAACGCAAACUUAGUGGCGGACGGGUGAGUAACACGUGAGCAACCUGCCCUACAGUGGGGGAUAACGUUUUGAAAAGAACGCUAAUACCGCAUAAUGUACCGGAAGGGCAUCCUUCCGGUACCAAAGGAGCAAUCCGCUGUAAGAUGGGCUCGCGUCCGAUUAGCCAGUUGGCGGGG
rnacentral:rRNA from 1 species